UUGAAUACAAGGUGUUAGGAUAUGUUGCUGACCUCUUAAGGGGGGUAUGUGCACAUCUAAGCUACCAUCCUUUGACCACCUGUGCACUCUUUGUAGGCUGGGGAUUAUCUCUCGAGUAAAUACUCGGUUUGGGGAUUGCAGUGUAAAAGCUAGCUUUUCCUACAAAUUCUAGUCUACGUUUUCACUAUACUCCAUACAAACGUUAUAGAAUGUCUAUUUAAUAGGCCAUUAUGCCUUUAAAAUUAAUACAACUUUCAACAACGGAUCUCUUGGCUCUCGCAUCGAUGAAGAACGCAGCGAAAUGCGAUAAGUAAUGUGAAUUGCAGAAUUCAGUGAAUCAUCGAAUCUUUGAACGCACCUUGCGCUCCUUGGUAUUCCGAGGAGCAUGCCUGUUUGAGUGUCAUUACAUUCUCAAGCCUUUACAAUUUUCUUUAUUGAGGUUGGCUAGGCUUGGAUUAUGGGGGCUGCUGGUUUCUUAGAAAGAUCAGCUCUCCUUAAAUUAAUGAGUAGGACCUUUAUGGAUCAGCUUUGGUGUGAUAAUUUAUUUUACGCUUUAGUUGUGAAGUGUCUUUAUAUAAAGAGAGGUUCAGCUUCUAACUGUCUAUUCACUUGGACAAUAAAAUUAUUGAUACUCUGAC
rnacentral:rRNA from 1 species